CCUACGGGAGGCAGCAGUGAGGAAUAUUGGUCAAUGGACGAGAGUCUGAACCAGCCAAGUCGCGUGAAGGAUUACUGCCCUAUGGGUUGUAAACUUCUUUUAUAUGGGAGUAAAACAGGGUAUGCAUAGCCUCUUAUAUGUACCAUAUGAAUAAGGAUCGGCUAACUCCGUGCCAGCAGCCGCGGUAAUACGGAGGAGCCGAGCGUUAUCCGGAUUUAUUGGGUUUAAAGGGAGCGUAGGUGGAUUGUUAAGUCAGUUGUGAAAGUUUGUGGCUCAACCGUAAAAGUGCAGUUGAAACUGGCAGUCUAGAGUACAGUAGAGGUGGGCGGAAUUCGUGGUGUAGCGGUGAAAUGCUUAGAUAUCACGAAGAACUCCGAUUGCGAAGGCAGCUCACUGGACUGCAACUGACACUGAUGCUCGAAAGUGUGGGUAUCAAACAGGAUUAGAUACCCUGGUAGUC
rnacentral:rRNA from 1 species